rnacentral:rRNA from 1 species
CGGGGGAGCAAGCGUUGUUCGGAUUUACUGGGCGUAAAGGGCGCGUAGGCGGCGCAACAAGUCACUUGUGAAAUCUCCGGGCUUAACCCGGAGCGGCCAAGUGAUACUGUCGUGCUAGAGUGCGGAAGGGGCUACUGGAAUUCCCGGUGUAGCGGUGAAAUGCGUAGAUAUCGAGAGGAACACCUGCGGCGAAGGCGGGUAGCUGGGCCGACACUGACGCUGAGGCGCGAAAGCCAGGGGAGCGAACGGGAUUAGAUACCCCGGUAGUCCUGGCCUUAAACGAUGGAUGCUUGGUGUCCGGGGUUACAUAGUCCCCGGGUGCCGGCGCUAACGCAUUAAGCAUCCCGCCUGGGGAGUACGGUCGCAAGACUG